rnacentral:rRNA from 1 species
UACAGAGGGUUCGAGCGUUAAUCGGAAUUACUGGGCGUAAAGCGUGCGUAGACGGUUAUGUAAGUCAGGUGUGAAAGCCCCGGGCUCAAGCUGGGAAUUGCAUUUGAGACUGCAUAGCUAGGGUGCGGAAGAGGGAAGCGGAAUUUCCGGUGUAGCGGUGGAAUGCGUAGAUAUCGGAAGGAACAUCAGUGGCGAAAGCGGCUUCCUGGUCCAGCACCGACGUUCAGGCACGAAAGCGUGGGGAGCAAACAGG